rnacentral:rRNA from 1 species
UACGAAGGGGACUAGCGUUGUUCGGAAUUACUGGGCGUAAAGCGCACGUAGGCGGAUUUGUUAGUCAGGGGUGAAAUCCCGGGGCUCAACCUCGGAACUGCCUUUGAUACUGCAAGUCUCGAGUCCGAUAGAGGUGGGUGGAAUUCCUAGUGUAGAGGUGAAGUUCGUAGAUAUUAGGAAGAACACCGGUGGCGAAGGCGGCCCACUGGAUCGGUACUGACGCUGAGGUGCGAAAGCGUGGGGAGCAAACAGGAUUAGAAACCCC